AUGAAAAAAAGGGACAUUUUGUCCUUUUUUACCGCUGUUAGUAAAGAACAGCAUAGACAGAGAGAGGAUGAAAGUCAGGAGGGAGCUGAGAAGCAGGAUGAAAGAGAGAAGGAGGAGAUGGUUGGAGAGGAACCAGAGAGGUCAGAGGCUGUCCACCCUGAGAGUGAGGAGGAAGAUGUAGGCUGUGAGGGAGAGAGUGAGGAGCAAAAAGAGGGACAUCUUCUGUCAUGUGCACCGUGUACACUAGCGUCAGAUAUCAGCAAGUGUAAGGAUGACCCACCUACUCAGCCUCGUUUGAGGACAUUUCCAGGGACAUUAAUAGGAGACAAAAGACUCAGCUUUCAGCCAGGCUGGUAUGAAAGUCAUCCUUGGGUUGAAUAUUCUGUUACUAUGGACUCUACUUAUUGUCAUACAUGCAGACAUUUUAGCUCACCAAGUAGCGCAGGAAGUGUGUUUGACUCACCAUGUGGAUUUAGGAACUGGAAAAAAGCAACUGAGAGAGGAGGGGGGUUUUCAGUAUACUCAAAGUCUGAAAGGCUUGAGGAUUCAAUGAUAGCGUGGAGAGACUACCAGAGGGCUGUCAAAGCUAAUACAACAUUGGCUAAUAUACUCGACAAGGAGCACAGUAAAAAGGUUAAAGAAAAUCGUGAGUAUAUCAAAACAAUUGAUGAAGUGAUUUUGCUUACGUGUGUGUGUGUGUGUGUGUGUGUGUGUGUAUGUGUGAUGACUACAAAAAGCAAAUUGUAUUGUGCAGAUAUUUUAUUUGUUUGAAUGUUUAUUUUUCAUAUGUACAGUUCAUAUAAUCUUCAAAUAAAGUCACAAACUAUAAUAAUAAACUAGAAUUAUUUUUUUACUCAAGUCUCAUGUUACUGUGAAGCAUUCAGAAUUGUUAUCUGAGUACCAUAAAAACAUGCCAGUUUUACUUUCACAAGGAAACCAUUACUACAUUUGCCAUAAUAGUUUACUUGUUCAUUGUCUUUUUAUUAUGAUUUUUUUUCUUGUGCCCCCAUGAAAACAUACUGGCCCCACUGUGGCCCCCCUGGAAAAUUUGGUCUAGAACCGCCCCUGGCAAAGCCUAAUUCUCCUAUUGAAUGAAACAAAGAUUAAACUAUUUGACCACAAUCACCAAGAAACCAGCCAUAAAUACCACAGAAACAUGAUGAUAACAACUGCAUUUUAUUGGGAAUUUUCUGCAAAAAACAAACAAACAAACAAAAAAAACUUGGAAAUCAGUCAGAAAAGAAUUACUGAAAGGAGAGGAAUACAAAAUCUUCUUGAAUCACCUUUAGGAACUUGGUAUUUCAUAAACAGAAGCAAAAUAACAUUAUGGUUAAAGUGAUCUGCAACCUACAAACAGAUAUUUAAAGUUAGUGAUUAGUAUUUAAAUACACUGACUAGAAGUCAAACUAAGAAAAUAACCCUUAAAAAGACAUGCAGGAGUUAUUGGUAAAUGAGCAACUGGUGAGUAUAAUAUAGGUGAAGAGCAGGCGCAAAAAGCAGUGGGUCCCAAACACAGUCAGCAACCAACCAACCAACCAACUAACCAACCAACCAGCUUGCCAACAAACUAACCAACCAACCAACCAAACAUACCAACCAACCAACCAACCAAACAUACCAACCAACCAACCAACCAAACAUACCAACCAACCAACCAGCCAACCAACCAACCAACCCAACCAACCAACCAAACAUACCAACCAACCAACCAACCAAACCAACCAACCAACCAUACCAACCAACCAACCAACCAAACAUACCAACCAACCAACUGUCACGAUCUGCCCCUGCCCAACCUGACUGUGUUCCUCUCCUGCCGUGAUUGCCCUUAUUGUUCUCACCUGUCCCUCGUUUACCUGCCCAUGUUUCCCUAAUUAGCCCUCUGUAUUUAAACCACCUGUUUUGCCCCUGUCCUUUGUCAGUUCAUUGUUGUUGUUUGUCGGUGUCCUGUUCAUCCCAUCCUGCCAUUAAACCAUUUUUACUUUUACUGAAGCCUGCAUUUUCCCUCCGUUCAGCUCAUCCACACAUGGUCCGCCGUCUCCACCUCCUACACCGUGACACCAACCAACCAAACAUACCAACCAACCAACCAACCAACCAAACAUACCAACCAACAAAUCAACCAGCCAAACAUACCAACCAACCAGCCAACGAACUAACCAACCAACCAAACCAACCAACCAACCAACCAACCAUCCAACCAACCAACCAAACAUACCAACCAACCAACCAGCCAACAAAUUAACCAACCAACCAAACACACCAACCAACCAUACCAACCAACCAACCCCAACCAACUAGCCAGCCAACUAGCCAGUCUACCAACCAACCAAACAACCAACCCCAACCUCAAAUGACACUAGGACUAAUUAAUGAACUAUUUUUUGUAAACUAAAUUAAGUUAAAAGCAAUUUCUCUUCAAUUUUUUAUCCAUUACUUCAGCAAAUGAAACAUGCCUUCUAUUGGCUAUUUAAUAAUAUAAAUAACGUUUUAAUGUCACACACAGUUACUAGAAGUGAAAGAAAACACAAAACUUUUGCUGUUUUUGAUCAACAUUUAGUAUAAAAAUGUCUAUACUCAUUUUGCACUAAAACAUUGAGUCAGAAAACUUGAUCAUAAUGUGUUAUUUUAUUAACAUUUUAAACCGAUUUCAAACUAUGAUUACUAAUGCUGUGGGCUGAUGAGUCACUGAAAUCCAAAUAUUACCACAUAAAGGGUAUUUAUUCAAAUUAGUCAUUUCAUUUUCAACAGAAUAUUUCCAGUAAACAUUAAUACUAAAAUCCAAUCAACUCAAACCAGAGAGAAUAACAAACAUGUGAGGGAUGGAAACAAGGUCAAGAGAUUGGUCUUCAGAUGUUCAAGUAUUGUUGAAGCAGAUUUCUGAUGAAUGAAUGGUGUCAUUUCUCAUUUCCUCAUAAUUAGAUGUGCUUUAUAACUAAAAAAACCUCCUGCAGGCUUUUUGCACAUGUUAGUUGUGUGCAAUGUGAGGCGGGCUAACAGGGGUUAGAGUGUGUUUUUGGAAUAAUGCACAUGGAUAAAAGGAAGCCAGAUCACAUCUGCACCUCCCGCACACAAUCCUUCUUUUUUAUUUUUUAUAGUGAGCACUGCAGUUGUGAAGAUGACACCACAGCCUUUCCAUUUGAUGAGCAAUUAGCAUUCCCUCGCCUGAGUUUGUAUCAUGAUGAUCCAUUCAUUUCCAUGAUGUAAUUAUGUGUAUAAGGCUGCUCAUUUGGAAAACAUUGAACUCAUCAAUCUUUUUGCACCCAUUUUCUAAUUCGACCCACUGAGAGAGUCCUGGGGGACACUAAAACCGCACUUAAUUGUCCUCAUUCCAGACAGCCUCUAAUUACACUCGGUGCUUUACAUCUUGUUAAAAAAGUUCAAGAUCCUCUUUACCUUUUUUUUCUUAAUGUUUAGGGAGCAAGUUAGAGGGGGAUGGAGAAAUUCCCUUGUCACUUUGCCCUUGGCAGCUGCGCUCUGGAUAAACAAACACGCAUCGCUGUACAUUAGUCAGCCAGUUGGGAGCCAGGCUUUGAUUAAAAAGCUCCCUCUGCUGUAUCUCUGUGGCCCUCACUCCUGUGAGAGCACAGAUAAAUGAAUUAAUGAAUAGCUCUUGUUGAACUAAUGGAGAGAAGGGAUAGUUGUCUCAACAAACCGCCGUACAGUAUUGUGCUGCGCUCUUGUGAUUGAGAGGUGAGAAGGGUACACUUCCAGCCACACUGUAAAUCAUUUAGAGUCCCGAUUAGCACUUAAGCAGAUGAUUACCAGCAGAGCUACCAAUUCUCUGCUGAUUUAGUCUCAGAACUAAUGACAACUGAAGUUUCCCCUACAAAGACAUUUAGAUUUAACAGACGGAAAUGUGCAGAAGUUGUCUCUGUGGAGGCAACAGGAGAAAAGCAUUCAGGCUGUUCAAUCAGGCCCGAAAGCACAUAAGAACACAUGUCUGAUAACAGAUAAGGAGUUUUGCAAGUGGGCUUUAUGUGUGUGUGUGUGUGUGUGUGUGUGUGUGUGUGUGUGUGUGUGUGUGUGUGUGUGUUACAUCUGCUGUCAGGACAAUUUUAUUUUUUACUUUUCACCUGUAAACCUGGGGAAAGUUUUAGGUGUAUGGUGUGAAUCAACUUUUAGUUGAGGUUUGGAAUUGUAGCGUUGUGGUUUUAUGCUCUUUUAUGAAAGAGGAACCAUGCUACGUAUUAAUUCGGAAUAUUAAUUUUUAAUAAAUCAAUAACUAAAUUUUAUAUUGUUCAGAAGACUCAAAGGUUGUUUUCAUCGAUAAACUGCCGAUAAUAUCUGAGUGUCUGUGUUUCAGUUCAAUGAGGAAACCAGUUUGAAGGAUUAAAAGUUUUAAUUCUUCAAAUUAAACUAAUGAUUUUGAAAAUUGACAAACAGGAAAUAACAAUCACAUUGGCAACUUUGUGGGACAAUCUUUUAACAGUUUAUAUGCUGUUCUUGCUCAAAUAGACCUUCUGGUGAAUUUAUGAAGAUUGAGAAUGUUGUGAGUUGUGAGAGUCAUAUGAUGUGAUUAUGGAUGCGUGUGGGUGCAAAGUUUGGUGAGAUGAGGUGAGGUGGAUGCGUGUGUGAGUCUGAUUUUGCUUCAGGAAGAGACAGGUGUCUGAGUGAAAAGUGAUGGUUUGAAUAAACUUAGGUUUAGUGGAAAAGAUGCAUCCAAACGCUAAACACCGUGUUCUGUCUCACCAAAUUCUUGUGGACCCUCUUUCGGAUCCGGGCCGUGGAGGAUGUUGUGGUACAUCCAGAUGACACCGGCGGCUGACAGGAGACGUAGGUGUCGAACGGAACCGGUCCAGAGUUGCCCUCGGUACACGUUGAUGGUAAAGCGUUUUGUCGACGCGCUUUCUUAAGUUAAUUCACUCAGAAAUCAAAAGACUCGGUAAUGAGUCUGCGUUAGAAGUUGCGAUUCAGCUAUUCUG
rnacentral:lncRNA from 1 species